rnacentral:rRNA from 1 species
UGGUGGGUUGCCUUGUUCAGGUUGAUUCCGGUAACGAACGAGACCUCAGCCUGCUAAAUAGUCACGCCUACUUUUUGUAGACGCCAGACUUCUUAGAGGGACUAUUGUCGUUUAGGCAAUGGAAGUGUGAGGCAAUAACA